rnacentral:rRNA from 1 species
GACGAACGCUGGCGGCGCGCUUAACACAUGCAAGUCGAACGGAAAGGCCUGCUUUCCCUUGUGGAUUGCGGGUACUCGAGUGGCGAACGGGUGAGUAACACGUGAGUGAUCUGCCCCCAACUUGGGUAUAAGCCUGGGAAACUGGGUCUAAUUCCCGAUAGGACUGCAGGGUGGUGCCUGUGGUGGAAAACGAUUUUCUAGUGGUUGGGGAUGAGCUCGCGGCCUAUCAGCUUGUUGGUGGGGUAAUGGCCUACCAAGGCGGCGACGGGUAGCCGGCCUGAGAGGGUGGACGGCCACAUUGGGACUGAGAUACGGCCCAGACUCCUACGGGAGGCAGCAGUGGGGAAUAUUGCACAAUGGGCGGAAGCCUGAUGCAGCGACGCCGCGUGGGGGAUGACGGCCUUCGGGUUGUAAACUCCUUUCGACCGCGGGGAAGCCACCUGGUUGGAAGGGUGGUGACGGUAGUGGUAGAAGAAGCACCGGCUAACUACGUG